AACUUUUGACAACGGAUCACUUGGCUCUCGCAUCGAUGAAGAACGCAGCGACAUGCGAUAAGUAAUGUGAAUUGCAGAAUUCAGUGAAUCCUCGAAUCUUUGAACGCACCUUGCGCCCUUUGGCUAUUCCGAAGGGCAUGCCUGUUUGAGUAUCGUGAACACCUCAACUCUCAUGGUUCGCCAUGAUGAGCUUGGACUUUGGGGGUCUUGCUGGCCUGUGGUCGGCUCCUCUCAAAUGAAUCAGCUUGCCAGUGUUUGGUGGCAUCACAGGUGUGAUAACUAUCUACGCUUGUGGUCUCCCACCAGAUAACCUUCAGCAAUGGAGGUUCGCUGGAGCUCACAAAUGUCUCUCCUCGGUGAAGACAGCUUUUGAACG
rnacentral:misc_RNA from 1 species